AGAGAUUUAAACACAUGUAAAACAAUGCCACUCUCUCCAUGAAUUGCUUUUGUUUGGAAGAUAUAGUUAUUUUUCAUAAAAAUAUGUUAUUUAUGUUAACAUGCAAUGAGUUUAAUGGAUUACUAAAUGUGUUUUAAAUGUCUUUUAAUGAAUACAUUCAAUAUCAAUAGAAAGACAUAAACUAAAGUUUUGGGGGUCUGAUUUUAAGAGUGUUAAAUGGUGCCAUGGCCAAAAUGUUUGAGAAUUGCUGCCUUAGGCAUAAAUUCAGUCUAAGAGUGAAGACACAUGAAAUAGAGAAAAUUCUUAGCUGGUGUUCAUUCGUUCGUUCAUUCAUUCAUUCAUUCAUUUAUUCAUGAUUAUGUGCAUGAUCAAGGCAUUGGGAUUAUACAAGUCAACAAAACAGCAAAAUGCCCUGCCCUCCUGGAGCUUAGUCAUAAGUGCUAUGGAGAAAAAUAAGCAGAGAAGGGGGUUGGAGGAAGCCUCUGACAAGUAGUAUGUUUAAAUACGCUGGUCAGGGGAGGAAGGCCUCACCGAGGUGACACUUGGGUAAGAUCUGCAAAUGGAGAGGGAGGAGGCAUGUCCUAUCCCAGGAAAGAAUGUUUUAGGCAGAAGGAGCAGUAAGUGCAAGGCCUGGCAUGUGUGAGGAAGAGAGAGGGGGCACUGUGCCCAGAGUGCAGUGAGGAAAGGAGAGAGCAAUAAGGGGUAAAGUCAGGCAGGAGGUGAUAAAGGAACCAGGUUUGUGGGACCUGGUGGACCCCUGACAUGACUUGAGCAUUCACAAGCAUGGUAUGGGAAGCUUUUGGAGGUUUUUGAACAGAGCAGUAAUGGGACCUGCUUGUCUUUAACAAGAUCACGCUGGCUGCAGGGCUGGAAAUAGAAGAGGGAAAGAGCAGAGAGAGGAAGCCUGUUCAGUAUUCUGCACCCCAGGCAGGAGAUGAUGGUGGCUUGGAACAAAUGGCAUCAAUGGAAGUAGUGAGAGUUGGAUUCCAGAUGUCAUUUGAAGAAAUAGCUGGAAUGUGUUUAAAGAAAGCAGUGAAUUCUCUAUGAACACUCCCAUCACCAAGGAAUCAACAGGAAUUGCCAGUGAAACAGAUCUAAAGGUGUGCUCUUCUGGACGGAAACAGUGGAAAGGCACCCUCCACCCCGAUUCCCUUUGUGGCUCCAUGCAGGCCCUGCUCAUAGCAGUGGUGGGAACAUCCACUCCCAUCUCACAGA